CUCCCCCUGGGCGGCCAUGCUGGGCCACGGCAUGCAUGGCAUGAUGCAGCACGAAUACACGCACCCGCACGCACACGCAUCCAUGCCAAUGGAUCUGCAUGUGCCGCAAGCUUUUCCGUAUUAUCGGUAUCGAGAUGAGGCGCUGUGUUGGUCGGACAGGAAACCGUCGGUAGAUGGAGUGAGCAAUGCUGCUUCAGUUAACAGUCGGUA